rnacentral:rRNA from 1 species
CCCUUAUUGAUAAGCCAUGCAUGUGUAAGUUUAAGACCUAGUAGGAUGAAACUGCGGACGGCUCAUUAUAACAGUAAUAGUUUCUUUGGUUAGUAUUUACAGGGAUAACUUUGUGAAUGAUAAAGCUAAUACUUGAGACGAUCUGGGAAGUAUUUUACUUUUCCGCCCCCGGCCGCGAGGGUGGGGUGGAACGACAUUCUCUUCUGAAAAAGGAAGCCCCGACCAUUGAGGAAAGCGACGCUUUUUACCAGUAACCCAUGGGAAUUUCUGAUCUAUCCAUUUGUUGGUAGUAUCGAGGACUACCCAGAUUAUAACGGAUAACGAGGAAUUGGGGUUCGACAUCGGAGAGGGAGCUUUACAGAUGGCUACCACUUCUAAGGAAGGCAGCAGGCGCGUAAAUUACCCCCUUUCGACUCGAAGAGGUAGUGACGACCAAUAACUCUUGGCGCCUUUCGGGGCGACUUGAAGGAAUGAUUUAGAAGUAAAUUUCUCUAAAGAAAUCAAUUGGAGGGCAAGUCUGGUGCCAGCAGCCGCGGUAAUUCCAGCUCCCAUAGUGA